rnacentral:SRP_RNA from 1 species
GCUGGGUGUGGUGGUGUGCACCUGUAGUCCCAGCUACUCGGGAGGCUGAGGCAGAAGAAUUGCUUGAACCCGGGAAGCAGAGGUUUCAGUGAGCAGAGGUCACACCACUGCACUCCAGCCUGGGUGACAGAGCAAGACUCUGUCUCAA